UGUUAAGUACAGUGCACGGAAAUAAAUCUAUAUUUAACGCAAUUUUGUGGACACGUCAUUGUUGCUACUAUCCCACUCCUUUGUUUCCAUCGUAAUAGUAAUUGUUAUAAUAAAAAUUAUUAUAAUAAUAAUUGUAAUAAUAAUAAACAUUAAAUAUUAGCAUCAUCAUCAUCUCAAUGCUGAACGAUUUAGAAAAUUAGAAAAUCCUUUUCUUUAGUUUUCAAACGAUUGUUUACUGUGUUUGCUGAAGAUUUUAACAAAAAAAAAAGGCAACUGAAGAGGGUCGCUGGUCGCGGAGGGAGGGGGGGGGGGGUUUCCUGGCGCCCCUUUAAAACCCCCCAAACCGGCCCCCCCUCGCUUUUCGUUGGUGUGACAUUUCUUGGGCUCUGUUGUUGGUUUUGUAAGUGUCAUUAACAUAGCCGAGCGACCGCAAAAAAGCGCAAAAUGCAUCUCUGGAAAUAAGAAAAAGUGGAAAAAUAGUAGAAUAAAUAGAAAAACAGCAAGCAUAAAAAACAAGUUACAUACACAAACACACACACACAGAUAGAAGGACAUAUGCAAAAGGCUCUUCAGUGUCUUCUGUUAUUUUUGCAUGUGUGUGUGUGUGCUUUUUGUGCCAGUGUGUUUGUGAAAGGCCAAAACUAACAACAACAACAACCAGCUGAAACAAAUGCAGAGCAAAAGGAAAUAAUAAAUAAAACUGUCACAUAAAAUAAGGCAAAAGAUAGGAGGAUGCUGGUUUCUUUCCUUAUUUUUUUUAUUUUUUUUUUUUAGUGGUCUUUCUAAGGCAUUUAGCUAUGCAAAAAAGUGCUCAUCUCAAAGUCUUUUGGCCCACAAGUCCUGCGGAUAUUACCAGCAAACUGUUACUUAAAUAGGCCAAACAAAUGUACAUAUAUACUUAUGAAUAUUUAUACAUAUAUGUAUGUUUAUAUAUAUGCGCAAUGUUCACAAAUACAGAUGUACAGAUGGCAGAAGUGCUGACAUUUAUGACUGAGAUAAAACAAAACCGAAGGACAUUCGCACAGAUGUGAUUUGUUUGGGAAUCUAAUAUGUUUGUGUAAGUUUAAAACUUUAAAAAAAUAGUUUAAAUAUGUGAUCUAUAUUAAUAGGAAUUUCAUAGCAUAAAAGCAUAUAUGAACUAAAAAAUUCCAAAUGCCCAUACUGAUUUAAGCAUUUCGAAACUAUUAAAAAGUGGAAUAAAUUGAAAUUUAUACACUGCAAAGCCUAUAAACUUGUUGUGUAUCUUUGUCGGCGUCUAAACAAAAGUUUCGCACCAAAAACUCGAAAGUUCAAUGCACCCCCCGCCCCCCGCCCCUUUUUUCAAAUAAAACCCCAUCAAAAUCGCGCUCACCUACGCCCAUUAAAAUCGUGGCAGGGUGCCAGGUUGGAAAUACAACAAGAUUCGCUUGUGAAACAGCCAAUGGCCAAUCACACAAAUAUUUACAUUAAGUGUGCAAAUUUAUUUGGGGCCUUUGCCAUUAAAAUAUUGAUUUCUGAUCUAUGGAAAGUUGCUCCAGUCUUGGCGUUGAUUGUCGAUCGUUAAGGGCAAUUUUCGUAUUGUGGCAUCGUAAAACAAAACGGCGAACGAUCCACAAAACUGUCAUAAUCUCGUUAUGAUCUCGCCAUCGCAAACAAAACGAAGCUUUUGUCAAUAAAAACUGUGGCAUUAAAUCGAAGUCAAUGAAUAAUUAAGACAGAAUGAGGCCUAUUUAAUGGUUUUCUUUUUUAGUAUUCAAAAUUGCGAUGUUAGCUAUGGAAGUCAUUAGAGAUCUUGAAAUAUAUUGUAUAUAUGUACAUAUGUAUCCUAAACUACUUAAAUAAAGAAAUAUCUAUAUCCCCAAAAAUAAUGACAUUUCGUGAUUACUCGCCAAUACUCGCAUUCUGUGUUCGCCUAACAACGUUAAUUGGGUUUCCAGUUUCGAUGGCGGCCACCUGUCGACCCAUAAAUUUAUCCCUAUUUUGAUUUGUUGUUGUUGUUUCAAUUGCUUCUAUUGCGUGGCAUCCGUGACCGAUAAUUGUUCAUGUGUCAAAUUUCUACUAAUCGAUUAAUCGUCAAUUGUGUCUUUGUCCGUAAAUGUCAGUCAGUCCGUAUGACCACUUGUCCGCUUGUGCAUCUGUCCAUCUGUCCGUUUGUCCCUUUGUCCAUCUGUCCAUUUGUGUUUUGCUGUGCGGACAUGGGCAGUCUGUCAAUCGGCCAUUCAUUCAAUCGCUGAGUCGUUGAAGGCCUUUGGCUACCGCGCUGCCAAAAUAUCGCGAAACCCACCCAAUCCCCCACUCUUGCCAAUUUCUGGGGCUUAUAUGUACAUAUAUAUCGUCAUCCCGUCGAUAUUUGGGUUUUUUCUCCUCGCUUGUAAACUCUGUUUUUUGUGUGACGGAAUAUUUUUGUUUAGCUGAGCUUUUGUUGUUGCGCUUUAUGUACAUAUGUUUUUUUUUUUAUAUUAUUUUUAUUCCAUUGGCCCCUAAUAUUGUUUUCGGCUUUGUUUACUUUGGUGGAUUGGCUUGAUUAGGCUGUCAAAACGGUGGACUUUGCGGGAAGCAUUUAAUUCAUUGUUGGCGGCCCAUCGAUGUCAAUUGCAAUUGUUGGCUGGACCUCAUCAAAGCUGCGGUUAAUAGUAAUUUAAUUUAAAUGGUAGAAAAAGGUGAUGAUAGAAUAGAAAAUAUACUGUGCCAUAAUUUAAUAUAUCGAAGGUUAUGAUCGAUUUUGAUCGAUUUCUUUCUAAGAGUCAACGACUUGCGCUCCUACCGACCACACCCCCGCCGCCCCCUGAAAAUGGGCGCUCGGCCACGCCCACCGGCACUUGUUCACACCAUUCGCCAUUCGGCAAUAACAACAGGAACAACAAACAAACAGAUCGCGGAUCCGCAAUGCGGUUGAUAAGCUUUAAAGGGGAUUAAUGACAGCAAAGGGGUAUACAUUAUAUGUAUGUACAUAUAAUACAUAUAUGUACAAAUAUAUAUGUAUAUAUGAAAAGAGCUUAGCUAUUGUAGCUAUUGUUAAAGAGUAUGCAGCACAAUAAAACAGUCUAAAAAGUA